rnacentral:rRNA from 1 species
ACAACCAUACUAGCCCAAACAUAACAUACCAUCACCAAAUAAUCAACUAAAGCAUUAACCCGCUAUAGUAUAGGCGAUAAAAAAAGUCCAACGGCGCAACAGACACAGUACCGCAAGGGAAAGCUGAAAAAGAAAUUAAAAAAAUAACUAAAGUAUAAAAAAGCAAGGAUAAACACCUGUACCUUUUGCAUCACGAUUUAACAAGUUAAACUGGGCUAAGAGACCUUAAGUCCAACAUCCAGAAACUAGACGAGCUAUUUAAGAACAGCCUACCACAGGGCCCACUCAUCUCUGUAGCAAAAGAGUGAGAAGAUUUUUAAAUAGAGGUGACAUGCCUAUCGAGCCUAGUAAUAGCUGGUUACUCAAUAAGAGAGUCUAAGCCCCACUUUAAAUCUUAUUUAGACUACCACACAUCAUAAUAAAAAUUUAAAAGCCAUUCACAGGGGGUACAGCCCCUAUGAAUCAGGAGACAACCUAAAACAAUGGGUAAUGAUAAAUCAACUAAGGAUCUACAACCCAGUAAGCUUAAUAGCAGCUAUCUGUUAAAACCGCGUUAUAGCAUAACUUCAUAUAAACCAAAAAUAUCACCAAAAAUAACAAAACCCAUAAACAACAAUGAGUCAACCUAUAUAACUAUAGAACAAUUAAUGUUAAAACUAGUAACAAGAAAUACAACUUUCUCUUAGCACAAGUGUAAAUUAUAACGGACCAACCAAUAAUAACCACCGGACAACACACGACAUACACAAGCGUAACCUACAAACCGUUACCCCUACACAGGAAUGCCACAGAAAGGCUAAAAGACGGAGAAGGAACUAGGCAAAUACAAGCUUCGCCUGUUUACCAAAAACAUCGCUUCUAGCCAACACAUCAUGUAUUAGAAGUACUGCCUGCCCAGUGACAGUGAUUCAACGGCCACGGUAUUUUGACCGUGCAAAGGUAGCAUAAUCAAUUGUCUUUUAAAUAAAGACUCGUAUGAAUGGCAAGACGAAAGCUUACCUGUCUCCUCCAUCAAGCCAGUGAACCUGAUCUUCCUGUACAAAAGCAGGAAUAAUUAUGUAAGACGAGAAGACCCUAUGGAACUUCAAACAAACAAUCAAUAAUUAUACUCUAUUAGUACCCCAACCAUAUUAUCUGAUUGAAUGUUUUCAGUUGGGGCGACUACGGAGAACAAAAAUCCUCCGCGAACCACUAUCGCAAUUAACAAACCACGAUACUAUUCACCUUAGAGCAAUUGACCCAAUCCAAUUGAUCAACGAACCAAGCUACCCUAGGGAUAACAGCGCAAUCUUCUUUUAGAGCCCGCAUCAGCAAGAAGGUUUACGACCUCGAUGUUGGAUCAGGAUACCCAAGCAGCGCAGCCGCUGCCAUAGGUUUGUUUGUUCAACAAUUAAUAUCCUACGUGAUCUGAGUUCAGACCGGAGCAAUCCAGGUCAGUUUCUACCUACAAGAAAUUUUUUCCAGUACGAAAGGACCGAAAAAACGGGGUCAAUAUCUAACACACACCCCUACAUUAAGUAAUGAACACAACUAAAUUACACUUCACCACCACCCCCUAAGAACAAGAAUUAA